CCUGCAGGGCUGAGCUGGGAUCUGUCACUUGUAAUAUAGGAGUCCGGAUGGGUGAAACAGCUUCUCCUUUCCCUCCACCCUCCCCCAAGUCCAGAACCUCCCGGGUAACCCCUGAUGAUUACACAGCCCCCACCUAGUCUCCAGUGCCCCGUAGUCGCCACCUGCACCAGGUUACUUAGACCCUGGGUUACCACUCACCAGCUGUUUCUCCCUGGCCUUCCCUUGGUACACAUUCCCCAGCUCCCCGGCUGGCAAGGAUGACUAGGUGACAUUUUUGACCUCACGAAUGUCCUUUGGAAAGUCACAUCUGUCAGAAUCCAGGGCAAAACGAAGGCCAUGCCUGGUGAGUAAGGAGGGGAUGGGACGAAGGGAGAGUUGACAGCAGUGCUGGUGGGUUGCAGAGGCCAGCAAGGCGGAGGACACUGUAACUGUGGGAUCUGCAACCGCCCCACUGGAGGGCCAGUGGGCAACCCAUAGACACCCCUGCCACAAUCUCCAGGCUCCUGCUGCGACCUCAUCGGCCAAGCCACCUGGAAGCCAUGGGGCAAGAGAACCUGAGUGAGGAAGUCCAGCGCGCCCAGCCCCCCACCCCACGGGCAGAGGACAGCACAGAAGCAGCACUUCGGACUCGGUAACACAGUUGCACGUAUACUAUGUGAUUGGAAGCAGAAGAAAUCAAUGCCAUUGCUCCCAUUCCUUAAAGAGCACAAUAAAGAAACAGAAGUUACUUACAGCCAAGGACUAACGCCAGUUGGGGCAGCACCCCCAGGAAUCAGCAAAAACCAAGUGAUUAAUUACCAACAUGGUACCCAACCUCCCUUAUCCUCAGAAGAUGUUCAGUGAGCAAUGUAAACAAACCGACAAUGUUCCCUAUGCUCUAACAACACAGCACUCCUCACACGUUAGAUAUGGAAAAACUGAGGCACCGUAUCAGCGAGCACUGGGGUGUAAGGAAAAAGGAAAAGGCCGCUCCAUACAGAACCAGUGGGAAUGUUGAUGCUUGGAGUCUUUCUGAGAAGCAGUCUCUCAGAGGUGUAAUUAAAAAGCAUAGACACAGAUUCUGACCCAGAGAUUCCCAGAAAUAGAUUCCAUAGAAUAAAAAGCACAAGAACAUGUGCAUGAAGAUCUUUAGCAUAGCGCUGACGAGGCAAAGGAAAACGGGGAAAUCUUGCCGGUCUGCAUAGGGACAUCUUCUCAUGGUGGUCAAAUAAAAUUGUGGUGUAUCCGUGCCACAGAUUACAAUGAAGCAAUGCAAAAUCACAAGUUAGAAUUCUAUGUGUUGACAUGAAAAACGUUCAUGACGCACUUUUGAGUAAAACAAGUUAUUGAA